UUCUGCACUGGUACUCUAUCCAGUGCAACCAAUCUUGUCUGAUCACAGAAGCUAAGCAGGGUCGGGCUUGGUUAGUACUUGGAUGGGAGACCACCUGGGAAUACCAGGUGCUAUGGGAA
rnacentral:rRNA from 1 species